GUUUCCUAGCACUGGCCAGGGCAGAGAGAGAUGCCCAGGUUGGGGCAUGAGGUGGUUUUCUGGCACUGGCUGGAGUAGGGGGCAAUGACUGGGCUAGGCCAGGCCAGGAGGUGGUUUCGUGGCGCUGACCGGGGUCGAGGCCGAUGACAGAGGUAACGGCGGGCCCGGACGUGUUUUUAGCCGGCACCAUUACCCCUGCGUUCAGAGCGCCCCGCAACCCGACCAGUCACAACCCUUCCCAUGCUCCGCCCCCUCCCUUCCCCCUAGCAGAGUCUAUGGAUUAAACGAGGGGCGCAGGACUCGCGCGAGGCCGUGGGUGACGGGAGGGGCAGCGAGAGAAGGAGCGGCGCCAAUAGGGAUCAGCAGCCGCGGCUCGCGCUCACCAUACUGUGCUGCGACCGUUGGGGUUGCGGUGGAACUGGUCGGGGGGUGGAAAGACCAGUAAGACGCGCGCCCAAUAGGGAGCGGCAGCUGAGUUGCGCGCGGGCCCAGGAUGGGGGAGGAAGGAGGGAGAAGCGCGGCCAAUUGAAUCGGCGCGCGCUGGGCCCGGAGGGGAGGGAGCUGCGCGGCCAGUAGAGAGCAGUGGUUGGCGCACGCGCAGAAGGCAGGAAGUCGGGGGGAUGAGCGAUAGGCAGGGGGUAGAAGCGCAGGCCCAGCCCCUUCCCCGCCGCAGUGAGUACUGACUCUGGCGGCCAUGUUGUGCGGGGGGAGGGGAGGAAGGAGUUGAGAGAAGACGGGAGAGACAGACUCUGCCUCACACACACCGCACAAGAUGGCCGGGGAGGCAGCCGCAACGGGGCUCUCAGGUGGUUCGGCCGCCGCUCGGUUCGCCGGAGUCGGGGAGGCACCCGGGCACCGGCCUCGCGGGCCACUUCGGGCCCGGCACUCAGGGGUUCCGGGCAGCCGGAGAGCGGCGAGCCGAGCUCCGUACGGGGCUGCGAACAGGCGGAGGGCGAUGGCGCCGGGCUCCGAAACUCUCGGCGCCUCGAGCUCCGUGGGCGGGUGGCGAGCCGGCCGCCGCCGCAGGCAGGGUGAGGAGGGGAACGGCUCUCCCUACCCCGGCCCGCCGCCGGUCUCCGCAUUACUGAUAGAACUCCAUAAAUGUUUACCUACUUGAUGGCUGACUGGCGUCCAGGCGGAUUGUAGAGACCUAAUUUUUUUAGGAUUGUACCUGGGUACUUUUUCUUUGCUGCAGAGGCUGAUCUAUUAAACCUGGAAUAUAAGGAAACGUUCAAAAUUCUGUAGUGUUCAUAUCAG
rnacentral:lncRNA from 1 species